UACGUAGGGGGCAAACGUUACUCGGAAUUACUGGGCGUAAAGGGUGUGUAGGCGGCUGAGCAAGUCAAAGAUGAAAUCCCGAGGCUCAACUUCGGAAUGGUCUUUGAAACUGCUCGGCUUGAGGGUAGUCGAGGAGAAUGGAAUUCCCGGUGGAGCGGUGAAAUGCGUAGAUAUCGGGAGGAACACCCGAGGCGUAAGCGAUUCUCUAUCCUACUCCUGACGCUGAAACACGAAAGCUAGGGGAGCGAACGGG
rnacentral:rRNA from 1 species